AUAGGGGGAAUAAAUAACAGCUAGCAAGUACGUGUGGCCCUUAUAAGCAUACAAACAAACUAGUUGAAGUUGAAGCAAAGCAAACCAACUAUGGCAAAGCCCUCUUUUCCUAUAAAUAGGGAGGAGAUGAGGAGAGUAGAGAGUGGGCAUUUUAGGACAUUUUCCAUUUCCGAUAUCCUAAUUUUCAGAUAGAAAUAGAAGAAAGAAGGAGAUGGAACAGAAAAAAAAAAAAAAUCUAAAAUGACCCCUCAAGACAUAUGGAGCUCCCUCGCUAUAGUCCAAAUGUCCAAUUUUACUUCUCUUGAGAUAUUUUUCUCCAUUCUGAUAAAGUUAAAAAUGAAAGAACACUAUCUGGAUGAUCUUGAAGAUUUCUUCGUCGUCUACAUCUCUUCCCACAGGUGGGUUAAGAAGGAUCAAGAAAAGAAGAUAGCAAUUCAUUUGGUCUACAUGCCAGAUCAUGAACCAUAUCAGCACGCAGCACUGUUGUUUAAUAAUUGUAUCCAGUUUAGUUUUUUUCUUGUGUUGAAGAAGACAUUCCAAUCAAUUGUUUGGAGGUUGUAACUCAUAAAUUCUGCCUUAGAUUAGGACUUCUAUAAUUUUCAGAAAUUUUACUUAUGUAUUUUUAUGUUUUAUGUUUCAUUGUCAUGUGUACAUUUUGUGAUAGAAGAUACUUCCUCUAUCCCGAAUGGAUAAUUUAGAAAAUUAGAUUUUUCUUAAUUGAUAUCAUUAAUUUGUACCA